rnacentral:rRNA from 1 species
GAUGAACGCUGGCGGCGUGCCUAAUACAUGCAAGUCGAGCGAACAGACGAGGAGCUUGCUCCUCUGACGUUAGCGGCGGACGGGUGAGUAACACGUGGAUAACCUACCUAUAAGACUGGGAUAACUUCGGGAAACCGGAGCUAAUACCGGAUAAUAUAUUGAACCGCAUGGUUCAAUAGUGAAAGACGGUUUUGCUGUCACUUAUAGAUGGAUCCGCGCCGCAUUAGCUAGUUGGUAAGGUAACGGCUUACCAAGGCAACGAUGCGUAGCCGACCUGAGAGGGUGAUCGGCCACACUGGAACUGAGACACGGUCCAGACUCCUACGGGAGGCAGCAGUAGGGAAUCUUCCGCAAUGGGCGAAAGCCUGACGGAGCAACGCCGCGUGAGUGAUGAAGGUCUUCGGAUCGUAAAACUCUGUUAUUAGGGAAGAACAAAUGUGUAAGCAACUAUGCACGUCUUGACGGUACCUAAGCAGAAAGCCACGGCUAACUACGU